rnacentral:rRNA from 1 species
CGGACGGGUGAGUAACGCGUGGGUAACCUGCCUCAUACAGGGGGAUAACAGUUAGAAAUGACUGCUAAUACCGCAUAAGCGCACAGAAUCGCAUGAUUCGGUGUGAAAAACUCCGGUGGUAUGAGAUGGACCCGCGUCUGAUUAGCUAGUUGGUGGGGUAAUGGCCUACCAAGGCAACGAUCAGUAGCCGGCCUGAGAGGGUGAACGGCCACAUUGGGACUGAGACACGGCCCAAACUCCUACGGGAGGCAGCAG